rnacentral:rRNA from 1 species
AUUGAACGCUGGCGGCAUGCCUUACACAUGCAAGUCGAACGGCAGCACGGACUUCGGUCUGGUGGCGAGUGGCGAACGGGUGAGUAAUGUAUCGGAACGUACCUUUCAGUGGGGGAUAACGUAGCGAAAGUUACGCUAAUACCGCAUAUUCUGUGAGCAGGAAAGCAGGGGAUCGCAAGACCUUGCGCUGAUUGAGCGGCCGAUAUCAGAUUAGCUAGUUGGUGAGGUAAAGGCUCACCAAGGCGACGAUCUGUAGCGGGUCUGAGAGGAUGAUCCGCCACACUGGAACUGAGACACGGUCCAGACUCCUACGGGAGGCAGCAGUGGGGAAUUUUGGGACAAUGGGGGCAACCCUGAUCCAGCCAUGCCGCGUGAGUGAAGAAGGCCUCGGUUGUAAG